ensembl:miRNA Mir6541 microRNA 6541
AGGAUUAGAAAUCUUCAUACACACAUCAACUGAGAGAGUCCUUGCCUGAGCACCAGCCCUUGCUUCUGCACAGGCAAGGACUUCUCAAGAAACCCAUGAGAUGGCUGAGG